CUGCCUCUAACUGUGUGUGUGUAUGACUGUCUGCCUGUGACUGUAUAUGUGCUUGUCUGCAUGUGACAGUCACAUAUACAGUCACAGGCAGACUGUCACACACACACACACAGU